rnacentral:rRNA from 1 species
AGAGUUUGAUCCUGGCUCAGGAUGAACGCUAGCGGCAGGCCUAAUACAUGCAAGUCGAGGGGCAUCGCGGUAGCAAUACUGGCGGCGACCGGCGCACGGGUGCGUAACACGUAUACAAUCUGCCUUUAACAGGGGGAUAGCCUUUCGAAAGAGAGAUUAAUACCCCAUAAUACUGGAUGUGGCCUCACAUUUAGUUGAAA